CUGGCCCAACUGAUAUGACGUGCUUGCACUGAUUUGACGAUGGAUUACCAGUGAGUGGCGGACGGGUGAGUAACACGUAGGCAACCUGCCCAAGAGCGGGGGAUAACAUUUGGAAACAAGUGCUAAUACCGCAUGAGAUUGAUGACCACAUGGUCAUCAAUUUAAAGAUGGUUUCGGCUAUCACUCUUGGAUGGGCCUGCGGUGCAUUAGCUAGUUGGUAAGGUAACGGCUUACCAAGGCAGUGAUGCAUAGCCGAGUUGAGAGACUGAUCGGCCACAAUGGGACUGAGACACGGUCCAUACUCAUACGGGAGGCAGCAGUAGGGAAUCUUCCACAAUGGGCGCAAGCCUGAUGGAGCGACACCGCGUGAGUGAAGAAGGGUUUCGGCUCGUAAAGCUCUGUUGUUGAAGAAUAACGUGCGUGAGAGUAACUGUUUCUUGCAGUGACGGUAUUCAACCAGAAAGUCACGGCU
rnacentral:rRNA from 1 species